rnacentral:rRNA from 1 species
UAAGAGGUCCCGCCUGCCCUGUGACACCUGGUUUAACGGCCGCGGUAUUUUGACCGUGCAAAGGUAGCGUAAUCACUUGUCUCUUAAAUGGAGACCUGUAUGAAUGGCAACACGAGGGCUUAACUGUCUCCUUUUUCCAGUCAGUGAAAUUGAUCUCCCCGUGCAGAAGCGAGGAUAUAAACAUAAGACGAGAAGACCCUGUGGAGCUUAAGACUCCCUCUAACUUAUGCAAAACUCCUCAAUAACAGGACCAAGCUAAUAAGCCACAGAAGCUGUCUUUGGUUGGGGCGACCCCGGGGAAUAAAAAGCCCCCGUGCGGAAUAAGAGUAUUCUCUUUAAACCCAGAACCACCCCUCUAAGUAACAAAACAUUUGACCAACCCGAUCCGGUAUAUACCGAUCAACGAACCAAGUUACCCUAGGGAUAACAGCGCAAUCCUCUCCCAGAGCCCCUAUCGACGAGAAGGUUUACGACCUCGAUGUUGGAUCAGGCACCCUAGUGGUGCAGCCGCUAUUAAGGGUUCGUUUGUUCAACG